GAUGAAAAACGUAGCGAAAUGCGAUAAGUAAUGUGAAUUGCAGAAUUCAGUGAAUCAUCGAAUCUUUGAACGCACAUUGCGCCCGCCAGUAUUCUGGCGGGCAUGCCUGUCCGAGCGUCAUUUCAACCCUCGAACCCCUCCGGGGGGUCGGCGUUGGGGAUCGGCCCUUUCACCGGGUGCCGGCCCCUAAAUACAGUGGCGGUCUCGCCGCAGCCUCUCAUGCGCAGUAGUUUGCACACUCGCACCGGGAGCGCGGCGCGUCCACGUCCGUAAAACACCCCAACUUCUGAAAUGUUGACCUCGGAUCAGGUAGGAAUACCCGCUGAACUUAAGCAUAUCAAUAAGCGGAGGA
rnacentral:misc_RNA from 1 species